UACGUAGGGUGCGAGCGUUGUCCGGAAUUAUUGGGCGUAAAGAGCUCGUAGGCGGUGUGUCGCGUCGGUCGUGAAAACUUGGGGCUUAACCCUGAGCUUGCGGUCGAUACGGGCAUCACUGGAGUUCGGCAGGGGAGACUGGAAUUCCUGGUGUAGCGGUGAAAUGCGCAGAUAUCAGGAGGAACACCGGUGGCGAAGGCGGGUCUCUGGGCCGAUACUGGCGCUGAGGAGCGAAAGCGUGGGGAGCGAACAGG
rnacentral:rRNA from 1 species